rnacentral:rRNA from 1 species
CGUAGGGUGCGAGCGUCAAUCGGAAUUACUGGGCGUAAAGCGUGCGCAGGCGGUUUUGUAAGACAGGCGUGAAAUCCCCGGGCUCAACCUGGGAGCUGCGUUUGUGACUGCAAGGCUAGAGUAUGGCAGAGGGGGGUGGAAUUCCACGUGUAGCAGUGAAAUGCGUAGAGAUGUGGAGGAACACCGAUGGCGAAGGCAGCCCCCUGGGCCAAUACUGACGCUCAUGCACGAAAGCGUGGGUAGCAAACAGGAUUAGAUACCCUGGUAGUCCACGCCCUAAACGAUGUCAACUAGGUGUUGGGUGGGUAAAACCAUUUAGUACCGGAGCUAACGCGUGAAGUUGACCGCCUGGGGAGUACGGCCGCAAGGUUA